CCGAACGGAACAGGGCGUCAGAGAUGAUGCCUCUCGCCGCGUGCACCGCCGGCGGCGAGGCGGCGACUUGGGCGCCGCCGUUCUGCACCAUCGUGGCGCCGACACGUCAGACUUCUCCUAUCUCUCCUGCCCGCGCUGCGAGCUCGCGCUUCCGGACGGCGCCGUCUCCUGCUUCGCCUGCGGCGGCGGCGGAGGCGGAGCCGGCCAGUCCGCCCCGGGCCGCGUCUACCGCCUGCUCCUCUCCGUCGCCACGCACGACCGCGUCGUCCCUGUCGUCCUCUUCAACCGCGCCGCGCGCACCCUGAUGGGCUGCCCAGCCGAAGACCUCGCGCGCUUCUUCGCCGCGCACCCGGGCUCGGCCCGCGCCGCCGCGGAGGCUCUGCGCGGGGAGAUGUGCCGGGUGGUGCUGCGGGCGCCUGCCAGGAACAGAAGGAGCGCCGGCGCCGCAGACGAGCGACUACGCGCCGUCUCCGUCGUCCCGCUUCGCGACGGUUUCCGCCCGGUCGUCGACGCCAUCAGGACGCUGUACCCGCGCAGCAGCUGAUGCUCCUCGACUUCUCGUUGCCUGGGAUAUUAUGGAUAUAGAGGUUGGUGCCCCCAUUCUGUUCGACGAAAUGCUUGGUUUGUAAUGGCAAUGCAGGAACAGUUGCACAAGGGCACAAGCAUUUCAAGUGUGACUGAUUAUAAGUUGUUGCUUUCAAGUGCAUUCUUCUUUCCCUUGUCUGAUUAAAUCGCCUAGUUUCGCGCCCCUAACUUUGUCCCGGCAAUUACCAUGUCUUCUUUGGAUUUGAGCAAAUGUUAUAUAAGAUUAUGCGAGCACCUAGACAAGAACGUUUGGAAAUCAUCGUCGCAAGCAUCCUGAACUGUGGAAGUAGUUCAGGUUUGGCCAGGUUUGCACUAAAACUUUGAUUCUCCGCAAUGACUUUAGUCCAUCUCAUAUAUUAUAUGUAUCUGAAGUUGCAUUUGCAUCCACGACUCGCAAUGCUAAGUUCUGCUGUCUUAGCUCGCUGCUGCUCUGUUUUCUUGUCUGUCAUUUGCCAUUUCGAUUAACACCAUGAAUCCACAAAUGGUACAGUUGCGUGAAGUGGCUCUGAUAAGAUUAUCGUGAGAUCAAAUCAUACUUCCAUAUUGUUCCCUUGUUGCUCUGAUAAGAUUAUCGUCGAAGAUCAAAUCAAAGUCCCUAUUGUCCCAGACAUGUAACACCAGAACCGAAAUCCAGAACUGACAUUACUUUGUUGACUAUUCUAUGCUCGAGCAGUGUUUACAUUACUUUCUUCCCAGGAAGACAUCAUGUGCUAUUUUUCAACAUGUGGAUGGUUUUUUUUUUUCUCUGCUUCACAUUUCUUCAUUUGUGUCGGCAAGUGAAGCCAAACUAGGAGGUGGCCGGGUGGGGUGGGGGGCGGCGUCUGGCCCAAGUAUUAAAGAUGCAUAUGCCAUAUAACUAAUUGUUGCUCAAGAUUAUGAAUAAGCAUGGGUCCACAAAAUUUUCAUUGGGUUGGUCGUUCAUAGGUGCAUCUAAUUCCGUUCGAGUGUCCACAUGGAUGCAUCUGCAGGAAGCUAGAUUCUCAAUAUCUAGUCCUCGAUCAUACUGAUGAUGCAGUUUAACACAUUCCAGAAAACUUUCUUCAUGUUUUUCAAAAAAAAAGAAAACUUUCUUCACCAGUUACUAUCUGCACAAGGGAUGAUGUUUGACAGUAGAAUAUAGUAGUGAACCUAAAAAAAAAAAGAGGCUACCAAAAAGCAUAAUAUUUGUUCAUCAGUUAUCUUGUUAGAGCACUGCAGAUUGCAGAAUCAAGUGUGAUCAGUCCAAUUCAAUCCAGUUCUACGGACAACUGAACACCAGUGAGAAACUGAAGCUGAUCAUUCGCCUUUUCAGAAUUCAGAAAGGCAUUCUGUGCACUUGUGAGUUUGUGACGAUGAGCCCUGAAUCUCAUGAUUGGCCCUCCUGUGCUGCCUGUGACGAUGAGGACGACACUAAGGACUAGCAGCAGCUGUGCAGAUGCAUGCUUCGUCAACAGUUGAGCUUCAAGAGUUUGUCCUCGACUUUAAGCUCUGCCGCUUUCAGUACAAUCUAACUCAGCAUCAGUCCAAGUGCUACACUAGCGAAGAUCUAGUUGGUGCGAAUCAUAUCUUUGAAAUUUUGCAGUGCUACUGGUGAGCGUACUGAUUAGCCAAAUGAUCCAAGUUAUGAGCUAGCACAAAAAGAAAGACCAUCAUUGAAGCUGAGGCGAUCAGUGGUGGAUCAUUUUUCAGUAUCUCUAAAAGACGAAACCUGACCCUGGAUCGCGCAUAUCAUUGGGCCACGUCGCCUGCAAACUUCAGCUGUCGGAUCAUCCAUGGAUAUUAUGAUUUUUCGCGCAUAUCAUUUUGCACAGUCAUCAGCACCCAAUGUUCGGUAGUUCUUUAAUAUCUUAAUCUCCAUUCAAUAUUUGCUCAACUUCCAAUCCUGUGGAUAUUAUUUGUGAUAUGCUGCAACUUCACACAAAAUAAGCUCGCCAAAGAUGUCUCUAUAACUCUUUAUCCUUGCUGAUCCACCAUUCUUCAAAGUUUCUACCUCAUCACUGCAGUGACAAAGUUACCAUUCAUUAUUGUCAUUAAUUUGAUUGUCAUGUCGUUCUUUUAUUGUUUCUGCUUCGUUGUGUCAGCAGCAAUGGUACCUAUUUUUUAGGUCACCAGUCUAGACUUUAGUUGGGUACAAUGUUGGGUUAAAAUUUCUGUGCACAUUGCAUUUAAAAAUAAAAUUUCUCCAUUGGCCAAAAUAUAACUGAAAAAAUGUAACGUUUAUAUAUUUUCCUUCCUGUAUGUGCUUCUACUGGAAAACAAUAGCGUGUUAUCAGUAAUAUUCCUCAUGCGUGUACACAUUAAUGUGGCAGAAAUUGGCGCGUGGGAGCAUGUUCAACAGCAAAGACAUGCUUUCUUUGGUAAAAUGCAGGUGUGGGAUUACACUGGACUUGGAUACACGAGGUAUAAUGCAAGAGAUGUGGGUAAAGAAUACCUUGGGUAUGCUUUAACGAAAGCUGCUGUAAUUUGUUAGAUACACUUUUUUCAGUGGUGAAUCUUUCAGUUUGUUUGCGUUGUUUAGAUGCGUGGUGGAGAACAAGGUGCUUUGCAAUUCUCUGCUCUUACGUUUACAGGAAGAAUUGAAUGACAUGGAAAGUGUGAUAUAUCUUACCAGAUUGGUGUCUCUUACUUUCCCGUCGAAGAGCAGACAAGCAAGGAUGAAGCCAACAUCAAGUGAACCAUUAUCUGCUGGUCAUUCUACCGAGGAGUUAUAUUGCAGCAAUUUAGUUAAACUUGACCUGAGUGAUGGAAGGAGUUUAUAUUCCAAAUUGGUGAUAGGAGCUGAUGGUUCCAAGUCCAAUGUUAGAUAGAUUGCAGGCAUAGAAACAACUGGGUGGAAUUAUCUGCCAAGUGCAAUUAUCUGUACAGUGGAGCAUGUUAUGGAAAAUGAUUAAAUACACUAGUCUUCUCAGUUCUCAGGUAGGCGCGGCAACGGCUGCGCCAGAGUUUCUAGUGUCAAGGAACCGUGUGUCGGUAGUGAUGGUGAACACAGUCGUGUGUAUGGCUUAAAAUUGCACUGAACAUGGAUUUGAUUUUUUUUUCUUUUUCAGAUAAUUAAGAAUUUUUUUUGGG